GGGCACUGCUGAGACCUAGCUGGCUCUGCGAUGGAUUCACUGUGUUUCUGAGAUGUGCUUCUUUGCUGACACUGCUGACAGCUGGAUACAGCUACACUGAGAAACACGAGACCCGAGUCCUGUCUGCUUUGGCUUUACGGGUGGCGACGGAUGUGUAAAAGAAACGCAAACACAAACAAGGCAAAGCUUGUCCUCUGCCUAAGGAGAUGCGAUGUCCAGCUGCACUGAACACCCUGCCCAUUAUUCAGAGCUACAUUCCAAUGAUGUUCUACCCCAAGAAUAUGCUAGAGGGACCCAACCACCACUGAGAAAGAGCCGCCUCUGGCUAGCACCCUAAAAUAGGAAGUCUGGCCUUCAGAGCCCCCAAGGCAGGCAGCUGUCCUGGCCGGACACUCUGGCUUGGCAGGCUGGCCCAGGGGAAGCACAGGCUUCUGGCAAGGACCUGAUGGAGAAGAUGCCAUGCACUCACCAGCCAUGUUUCGCCUUCCUCUGCCUCUUCUCAGGCUCCUCUGGGAAUGGCACGGACAGUGCUGACAGACAGGCUGCCAAGGAUUGCCUUACCAUUUAUAGAAUCCUCUCCUACACACCCCAAUUAGAAUUCUAAUGAAG
rnacentral:lncRNA from 10 species